UCGAACGGUGAAGCCAAGCUUGCUUGGUGGAUCAGUGGCGAACGGGUGAGUAACACGUGAGCAACCUGCCCUGGACUCUGGGAUAAGCGCUGGAAACGGCGUCUAAUACUGGAUAUGAGACGCAACCGCAUGGUUAGCGUUUGGAAAGAUUUUUCGGUCUGGGAUGGGCUCGCGGCCUAUCAGCUUGUUGGUGAGGUAAUGGCUCACCAAGGCGUCGACGGGUAGCCGGCCUGAGAGGGUGACCGGCCACACUGGGACUGAGACACGGCCCAGACUCCUACGGGAGGCAGCAGUGGGGAAUAUUGCACAAUGGGCGGAAGCCUGAUGCAGCAACGCCGCGUGAGGGAUGACGGCCUUCGGGUUGUAAACCUCUUUUAGCAAGGAAGAAGCGAAAGUGACGGUACUUGCAGAAAAAGCGCCGGCUAACUACGUGCCAGCAGCCGCGGUAAUACGUAGGGCGCAAGCGUUA
rnacentral:rRNA from 1 species